UUCUGCAUUUUUGCAUAUUUUGACACUAAAUGUAUAUUUUGACACUGCCACAACAUCUCAAUGGGGUUUAGGUCUGGACUUUAACUAGGCCAUUCCAAAACUUUAAAUUUCUUGUUCUUCAACCAUUCUGACUUGCUUGUGUGUUUCGGAUCAUUGUCAUGUUGCAUGACCCAGCUGCGCUUGAGCUUCAGCUCACAGACGGAUGGCCUGACAUUCUCCUGUAGAAUUCUCUGAUACAGAGCAGAAUUCUUGUUCAAUGAUAACAAGGCAUCCAGGUACUGAUGCAGCAAAGCAUCCCCAAACCAUGACACUACCACCACCAUCCUUGACCGUUGGUAUGAGGUUCUUACUGUGGAAUGCAGUGUUUGGUUUUUGCCAGACAUAACGGGGCCCAUGUCGGCCAAAAAGUUCCACUUUUGACUCAUCUGUCCAUAGAGCGUUGUUCCAGAACUCUUGAGGAUCAUCCAGGUGCUUUUUGGCAAACUUGAGACAAGCAUUCAUGUUCUUCUUAGUGAGCAAUGGUUUCCGCCUUUCUACUCUGCCAUGAAUCCCAUUUUUGCCCAGUGUCUUUCUGAUGGUGGAGUCAUGAACACUGACCUUAGCCGAGGCGAGAGAGGCCUGCAGAUCCCUGGAUGUUGUUCUAGGGUUCUUUGUGACUUCCUGGACGAUUUCACGCCUUGCUCUUGGAGAGAUUUUGGCAGGAUGGCCUCUCCUGGGAAGAUUCACUACUGUCCCAAACUUUCUCCAUUUGGACAAUAUGGCUCUGACUGUGGUUCGGUGGUGCCCCAGAGCAUUAGAAAUGGCUUUGUAACCCUUUCCAGACUGAUAGGCAUCAACAACUUUUUUCCGGAGGUCUUCAGGAAUUUCUUUUGUUCGUGGCAUGAUGUGCCUCUAGAACUUGUGUGCUGACAACUUCACUCAGUUCACUUCACUAAGGGCCAAAGUUAGUCAGAUUUCUAUUGGGCAGGGCUGGCCCAAAUCAUGCCUGGUUGUUAACCAAAGUACUCAAACAGCUGGCCCUAAUUAUCCCUUUAAUUGGGUUGAGUUAACUAGGGGGGCAAUAACUUUUUCACACCUGAAGAUUGCAUGUUUGAUUACCUUGCACACCAAACAAAUGAAAGCAGCACCAAACUUUGGUGUCGUUUUUUCUCUCAGACUCCCUCUAUAUACUACUACAACCCACAAAAAAAUCUGACCAAAUACAAUGUGAAAAAUGUGCAAAAAUGCAGAAAAUCAGACGGGGCAAAUACAUUUUCACGGCCCUGUAUAUAUAUAAACCAGACACGCAGAUAUGCCACCGAUUCAGCUAUCAACACUGACUCACACUGGUUGGUUCCCUACCUCAUGUUGCUGCGGCGCACACUCUGCUGGUGCUGUACUGGUCGUGUUAACUGUUAACUGUCUGCUGCAAAAUGUCAGCGACAAGCAAAGCCAGAGGAAAAAACAAGUCCGCUGUUUGGAGUUAUUUUUACUUUCUUAGAUUACUUGCAAAAGAAAGUUAAAUGCAUUAUAUGCAAGAAAUUACUUUCAUAUAACCAAACAACAUCCCCAAUGUGGAAGCACCUGACCACUUUUCAUCCGGAAGACAAGACAUUGUGUCUAAAAGCCAGUACCCAGGUAUAUUCUUUGAAUUUUUCACAAUACAAUUACAAUUUUAAAGCAAGAAAAAUGGUAAGACAUUUUAAUUACUAUUUGAUAUUUAUUUUUGCUAUGAAUGUUUAGGCAGCUCUAUACAGUACCACAGUAGGUCAUUAUUAUUAUUAUUAUUAUUAUUAUUAUUAUUAUUAUUAUUAUUGCAUCAUUUAUCAAACACCUUUACCCAAGGCGGCAGUGAUUAAAAUACUGUUACACGUACAACAUUACAUAAUAUAACAUAACAAAUGCAAAAUUAACAAAAUAAACAGUAAUAUGCAAUAAAAUACAGAAUAAAAAUAUAUACAGCAAUUAAAGUACAGAAGGCAAGCAAUCAGACAGUAUAAUAUAGUAAUAUAUAUCAAAGGAAGUUAGUUUGUGUGUGUGUGUGUGUCUUUCUAUAUAUGUACAUACACAUGUGUGAUUAAAUGUCUUAGAAACCUUUAGUGUUCGAAAAUUUUAUUGAGCGACAUGCCCGGGGCAUGUACAAAUUUGGGCUGGGCAUGUAAAAAUGUAUCUUACACGCCCCAGUCGGGCAUCUAAACAUUUUCGAUGUUAUAGAAUGAAAGCAAGCUAUUAAUUUAGUCUAUUAUUACCGGCACUUCUUAAAACUAGAAAUAUAAUUCCAAUCUACAUCCAGAGAUUUUUCACAUUUCAAGCACUGAAACAUUAUAUAUUCUCAAGUUUUUUAAAGUGUAGAAGGCUCACUUUAAGGUCGGGUAAGGCUUAUUUUUCAGUUUCACACUUCGGGUGAGUACAUUUUUGCACUGGGCAUGUUAAAAUUUCUGGAAUUUUCAAACCAUGUAAAGUAAUGAAUCCAGAGAAGAACCUGUUGACAUGGAGGAGUCUGCCUCUGGCUCUGGGGCAUCAUCAUCAACUUCUUCAAGUGCUAUGCCCCCACCAUGCAAAAAGCCAAUGACUCAUCAGCACACACUGACAUCUUACUUUGUAAAGGCUCCAUAUUCUGGUGAGUACUGAUUUGUUUUUGAAUACUUAUGUUCUUUUUUUUAUCAAAUGUUUUAUUUGGAGAACAAACAACGAUAGGACAAUACAACAAAAAAUUCCCCCAAUUUUUUCCAUUUUUAUCCCCCCCUCCCACUGGGUGGCAACCUCCCUCUCAAAUCACCCCAUAAAGAACCUCAGGGACCUAGUUCAGUCAAUAUUAGCUGGGUACAGAUUAAUUACAGAUCUGAUGGAAUCUGCAGCUGCUUUCCAGGCCUGCACAGUCCCCUCCCUGGCUCCAUGGACCCAGGUGAUAGACCGUUCCAAAUAAAUGAUGUCAAGAAAAGAGAGGGUCCAGUGGCACCAUGAAAGGGAGUGCGGAGGCUGCCAGCGAAGAGCAGUCAUCUUUUUAGCGGCUGUGAGGCCAGCUAACCAAGUCCUUUUCUGCAGCAAAGAUAGGUCAAAAGAAGAGUCGUCAUUCAGUAAUAGAACCAUAAGAGAGCGAGAAAUAUCUGUUUCAAGAAUAUUAGACAGAGUUGAAGAUAGCCGUUCCCAGGAUGCAGCCACGUCUGGACACUCCCAAAACAUAUUGAAUACUUAUGAUUAGUAAUAUAAGUCAAUCAGUUUCUUUUGAUAUAUUUUUUUUUUUCUUUGUCAUUAAUUUAUUGUUUCUGCUUGUUUUCAGUGACCAGUCUUCCCAAAAAAAUGUUAAAUAAAAAACUGGUUGAACUAAUUGUGAAAGAUAUGCAGCCAUUUUCCAUCGUGGAAGAUGCUGGCUUCAGAGGUUUUGUUCAAGCUUUGGACCCAAGGUACCAACUGCCAACCAGACACACAGUUGUGAGACUUAUAGAAGGACAAUACCUGGAAACCAAAACAGCCCUGAUAAAGGAGUUAAAGAUAUGUGGACUACAGUUAAUAUGGAAUCAUACCUGGCUUUAAUGUGCCAUUAGAUCUCUCCAGACGGCCAGCUGAUGACUAAACUGCUGGUUGCUCACAGGUUCACAGGACGCCACACUGCUGAUGCCAUUGCAUUGUGCCUUCAUGGCAUUAUUCAGCAUUGGGUUUUGAGUGGAAAAGUACAGUGUGCUGUAACUGACAACGGAGCAAAUAUGGUAACUGCCAUUCGCAAACUAAACCUGCGACAAACCUGCCAUGCUUUGCGCACACACUAAGUUCCGGAUUUGGAGGAGAUCAGAGAGAAAGUCAGAAAGAUUGUUGGAUAUUUUAAAUCCAGUACAGUUGCAAAAGUAAAGCUUGCAGCUUUACAACUGGAUCUGAAGCAGAACAAGCCGAAACUCAUUCAGGAGGUUGAUACCAGUGGAAUUCGACCUACUUCAUGCUACAGCGUUUUAUGCUGGUUACACAACAAAAUCCAAAUAAGGACAUUGCAGCUGAGGUCAAAAUGUACAUUGCACUCCCAAACACAAACAGGAAGCAAUGUCCUUUGACUUUUUGGAACUUUGAGGGUGUGAGGUUCCCCCACCUCCUGAAACUGACUAAGAAGUAUCUGUGUAUUCCUGCUGCCUCAGUGCCAAGUGAGAGAGUUUUCUCUAAAUCUGGAAGGUUAUCUCCAAAAGGCGCUUCAGACUGAAGGCAAAACAAGUGGAAAUGUGCCUUUUCCUGUAUUACAACAUGUAAUUACAAAAAAUACAAAAUAUAACAUGAAAAUUGUUAACCUUGAUGUAUAAGGACUUUUGCAUAAUUGUAUUAUAGUUAUUUCACUGCUUGUUAUUUAUUUUAUUUUUGUUAUUUUACAUUUUAUUGUUUUGAUUUCAUCCUGUGUUCUCUAGGUACUCCAGUUUUUUGUCCAGUGUAUUAAGAUGUUCAAAAUUGUAAAGCCUUUCUCAAUAAAAUUAUA